GAAAUCUUUGCUGUUUAUACCAACCAUUCGUAUUGUUAAAAUGGACAACAUAUUCUACAUAAAACUAUUUUCGUUGAAACCCUAAAACUAAUUCUGAGUGCUAUUUCUCAAAACACUUUAAUCUUGCCUCCACCCUCUACCUCCAGCUCAAUCUAUUCGACCCAGUGGAACUCUAGCUCAAAAUCUUAGUUUAGUGGAACAAUCAGUCAAAACACCAUAUAGCCUCCCUCUAUUUUUCCCUCACCACCGUCGGUCCCGUCGUCAGCCACCGUUGAAAGUCCCAUCAUGUUCUUUCUUUCUUCUUCCUUUGCAUUUCCACCGAUCAAUUCCUUCCAAAACUCUCAUCCUCUACAAAACCCUAAACUCAAGUCCUCCCACCAUCACUUUUCUUUUCUCUGUCGCCGCCUCUAGAAGUCUUCUAAUUUGACGUUUUCAAAGUCAUGCCCCGGUAUUAUUGUGAUUACUGCAGCAUUUAUUUGACCCAUGACUCUUUCUGGAGAUGGGUUCACCAUCAAUGGUCGGGUGAAGAUCCCCCAAGGUCUGGGUACAAAAGGGUUUGCUUUGCCUGGAAGAAUGUCAAAUGUCAAAGUUAAUACUCAAUGGUGGCCACAACGUUACUUUUCUAAGACCUGAUGGAUAUUUUUCAUUGUGUCCUAAUAUUUUAUCAACUCUAAUGCAUAGUUCUAUUUGAAAAUUCAUAUCUUUUAGUUAUAUACUUUUUCUUUCUUUGUCCUGUCAAUGCUAUUUUUCUGUAAGUAGAUAAUUACAUACAAUGAUACAUUAUCCAAUGGACGAUAGUAAACCUUUCCUCAGGAGUAUUAUGAUUCCUUAAUGUGUAUUUUUAUAAAUUUUAGAUGUGAA